AGGAAAGCUUCCUGCGCUCCGGCUUUGUCCCAGCUCUGUUCCGCCCCAAAUAAAACCUCGCUGUCUGCCCAGCAGGGCUCUGGCUGCGGCGUUGUUGGUGCUUGCAGCGUCACACCCGGCUCCAAUUCCCUGCACAGCUCAGCGCCAGGCUGGGCCAAAGGGGGGCUGAGCCCCCCUCAAAACAAAGAGCUGGGGGCGGGGGGGUGCUUGGCCCUUGCUCCUCCAGCGGCUGUGACCCCGCAGCCGCAGCAGCUGCCCCUGCUCAGAGGCGCAGCUGAAGCAGGGACACUCGGGGCCGCGACCGCGCCUGCGUGCCCAGGCGCCGCGCUGCAGGACGGGCAGGGCGCAGCAGCAGCAGAGCUGCAGGCAGGGGCGGCCUGGUUGCAUCCUCCAGCCGCUCCGCACGCCCGGCUGCCAGGGGAUGUGCCCGUGGCCCUGCUCCUCCUGCCUCUCCCCUAGCACCGAGCCCGGCCGGCUGCCAUGGGGAGCCUCGGGGGCUGCCCAGGGGCUGCCCUCGCCCCGCUGCUGCUGCUCGGCUUCCCGGUGCUCUGCCUGGCAGCAGGGCUGAGGGAGCCAGGCCCCACCAUCGACGGGCGGCCGCUGGCCUCGUGCACGCUGCGGGAGGAGGAGAGGCGAGCCUUCACCUGCCGGGCCCCCCGAGCAGCCCCCGGCUCCGUGCUCACCUGGUACCUCGAUGGCCGGAGGCAGGAGGCAAACUGCUCGGCAGCGGGCACGGCCGGCAGCACUCUCACCAUCACCGCCCGGCGUGCGGAUCGCGAGCUCAACUGCUCCGUGACCCACCCGGCCUCCGGUGCCACCGCCAACGCAUCCGUGCUCCUCGACGUGCAGUAUAAGCCAGAGAUCCUGCGUGCAGAUGCCCGCUACGAGGAGGUGGACGACGCCGGGCUCCUCCUGCUGCUCUUUGUGCUGGUGCAAGCCAACCCGCCGGCCAGCAUCACCUGGGUGGACCAGGAUGGGCGCGUGGUGGCCAACGCGUCCGAAUUCCUCCUCCUGGACACCAAGCACUACCCCGGCCUGGCCAACCACUCUCUCCACGUGCACCUCGGCAGCGCAGCCACCAACCUCUCAGUCAGUGCUGCCAACAGCCUGGGCGUCACCACUGCCUCCCUCCUGCCUCCAGGUUUGCUGGAUGCCCACGUGGAGCUGCCCCUCCUGGGCGUUGCUGUGGGCUCAGCCCUGGCCCUGAGCGCCCUGCUUGGCUUGGGCUCCCUCGCUGCCUGCCUGGCGUGCCGCCGAGCCAAGCCAGCACCAGGACUCCCUGGAUCUGCGUCGCUGCCUCCCAGCAGGACCGAGCACACGCAGACCCCAAACACGUGCCUGCCCCGGGAGAACAGGUCCCUGCCGCCUAACCUGCGCCUUGGAGAGCUCACGCAGGAGGACAGAGGUAAAGCAGCGAGGCACCUGGACCCCACCUGGGCUGAGAAGCUCCUGCUCCGUCCCCUUUCUUCUCCCGCAGCCGACCCUGGGGAUGUGGAAGCCAAGGGAGGGCAGCGGACCCUGCAGACCCCCCUUGUGCUCAGUGAGGGAGCGCAGACGGGUUUGGUCCCAUUCCCGAUGGCCUGGAGAAUCUACAAAGUCCCCAGUAUGAGCAGUGAUGAGAUCUGGCUGUGAGGUGCAUCACGACGGGCUGAGCCUCCCCAGGACCCCAGCAAGCCCCCAGCUCCCCCUGUGAUCAGCGCCUGUGCUCCAGGGAGGAAAAAGCACCACCACAAUGCUUCGAAACCACCCCGUCUGCCUCGCUCGUCUUCUGGCAGCUGCCUCAGCGCUCGUGGAGGCCCCACCAAGCAGCCCAGCACUGUUGCACUACACCAACUGAUUUCUGCAGACAGAAAAGCAGCUGGGAAACAAAACACUGAGUAAAACCAGGUAGUGACAACCAAAAGAAAAAUAUAUAUAUGUUACAAAAGUAAGAGUAAAGUGCACCGAUUUUGCUCUAGCCAGUGAGCGGUAAACAUCCCCUGUCUCUCCAUGACUCACUGUGAUGUUGUGCUGUUUGGAAUUCUCUGUUAGCCAAAGAGAAAGCACUGUGGGAUCUGACUGCUUCGUUGACGGCUCAUCGAGGACCAGUAAGCCGAGGUUAUCAGGCUUGCCAUCUGGACGUGGGACCUGUAGGUAAACACAGAAUGUAUUCCCCAUGGGAGCCCAGAGCAGGGGAUGCUGGAGCUGUUUUGUAAAGAGCCUCCCCAUGGUUUAAAAUUCAGACUCUAAAAGGAACUGGUAGGCACGCUGCUCUGACAGAAGAGAAAAUUGGAGUUGUUAGCACAGUGGUACCUGAAAUGUACAACGUGUCGCCCAAAGAAGGCAGAUCUCACCUUACAUUACAUAUAUACCAUGUGGGGGGUCAGCAAAGUGACCAGCCAGUUCCCAGUGUCACUAAGUGUCAUCUCCUAGGUGUCUAUAACAGUCUGUCCUGCAGCGCAGGGCGAGGAUCCCUCGCUGCUGCAAGGACGAUGUGGCUGAGCUCUUGGCUGCACAGCCCGUUACCUUGGGUUUCAGCUGGUGUGGCAGGAGGUACCUGAAAAUACCGUACCUUGAGGAACGCAUCGAUGUCUCCAACAGCAGGAAUAAAGUCUGGAAUAAAAGGCAGCAGCUUGUG